rnacentral:rRNA from 1 species
UAGGGAAUCUUCCACAAUGGACGCAAGUCUGAUGGAGCAACGCCGCGUGAGUGAAGAAGGUUUUCGGAUCGUAAAGCUCUGUUGUUGGUGAAGAAGGAUAGAGGUAGUAACUGGCCUUUAUUUGACGGUAAUGCACCAGAAAGUCACGGCUAACUACGUGCCAGCAGCCGCGGUAAUACGUAGGUGGCAAGCGUUGUCCGGAUUUAUUGGGCGUAAAGCGAGCGCAGGCGGAAGAAUAAGUCUGAUGUGAAAGCCCUCGGCUUAACCGAGGAACUGCAUCGGAAACUGUUUUUCUUGAGUGCAGAAGAGGAGAGUGGAACUCCAUGUGUAGCGGUGGAAUGCGUAGAUAUAUGGAAGAACACCAGUGGCGAAGGCGACUCUCUGGUCUGCAACUGACGCUGAGGCUCGAAAGCAUGGGUAGCGAACAGG